CUUCUACCCUUUUUUGCCACGUCCAUAGGAACGUUGAGAAAUGUUCCCCUUUUGCAACGUUUUUGGACGUGAAUUGCAAAAAGGGUAUUCCAUCUAAUCAAAAGAAAAACUCAACAAAAUCAUUUCAAAUCAACCCUAAUUUUUCUUUCUCGUCUCCACCUCUCGCACGUCUGAGUCGUCUCUCAUCAAAAAAACCUGCCCAUCGUCUACUUCCGGCAACACCCAAGCUAUGCCCAUCGUCCAGGUCGACCAAGCACCUAUACUAAUGAUAUAUUUAUAACAUCAAACCUGUGCGAAUCGAAAUCCAUAGCAAAUUUCGUCUUCAACGAAACCGGAAAGUUCAAACCCAAAUUUCGGUGCGGGCGAUGCGAACCAUGGUCGUGGACCACCUUCCCUACGACUACCUCAUCAUCAUGAAGCUUUUGCACAUAUUGGUCAUCAGCAAUUUGGACUCAAUUUGGCUCUGCUCUCUAAAUGCCAUGUCUCUGCACCCUCUGUUAGUAACUGUGGCUAUGAGUUUACUUAUUCUUUCUUUCUUUUCUUUUCAUUAAUUUCAGCAAUUUCUCACCAUUUGCCAAUUUGCAACUCGUGUGAUUUUGCCAACUUGAUGCUAGGCUUUCCCAUGUACUGGCAUGUUGUCUAUUCCUGAUGGUCGGGUCCUUACACGUUUCUCUUAGUUUAGCAGAAACAUUUGGUGAUUAAACAUAUUGAGACACAGUGAGGAGAAAAAAGCUGCAGAAAAUGUCUAGAUGAAGUCAAUUCACUGCAUGUUGGAUUGUUACAUUUUGCUUAUCUCCUUGACAAAUUUCUGCACAUACACGUCGCCAAAGAAUGAGUUUACUCAAAAUUCGGGAAAGUUUCUAAACAACCCACAUCUUAAAACUUUUAAAUAUUUUUACAAUUUCAAUUAGUCUAACACAUUUUUGUAAGAUAUUCAAUUUAUGAGCAAGUGAUAUGAAAAAAUUUGUUGUUCAUGACUUCAUCUGAUGACCAGGAAUUGUGUUUAAUAUAUGAUUUAUGAAAUUGAUUAUAUGAUAUCUUUAUUAGUCGGAAUUUAGAAAUGUAUAUGAAAUGAACAUUUGUCCUUUAAAACAGGUACCCUAGAUUGCUUCUAUGAGUAGAAAAUGAUCGAGUUGUAUUGGGGAAAUUGGGAUGACGAUCUAAGAAAAUUUUGCUUUCUUGGACAACCGAGGAAAAAGCUUCCACAUAAAGACUUGUAUGCCUUUGCUAUUGUUCUAUAUCGCAUAAGCCAUAAAGCUGCUUGAGAGGUAUUGUAAUUGGGAGUUUGAUUGGGGAUGGAAAUUGAAUGUGAUAAUGUCGUCGAAGUCACAUCCUCUAGGGUGUCUAAAUUUCGUCGAAGUUGUGUAGGACAAAAUACAUUGUCUAUGGUUUGGAGAUGAUAUGGUCAUCUUUAUUUCAUUAAGUAAUGUACAAUUUUCCAUGGUGCUACGUUAAGAUCUUAGAAGUUUUUAACUAUGACUUACACCAAAAUUGAAGUAGACAAGUGGAAGAGUGUUGUGGGUUGGAGGAUAGAACAGAGAAGAUCUUGGCUUCCUUGCUGUUUAGAAGAAGUUGAAGGCAUAGACCGGACAGUGUUGAGCCAACACUACCCAGUUGACUAAUGGACUGUGCUGGGCCCUGUCUAGCCAAGUUGUGCCAGACCUGUGAGUUUUAUUGUCAUUUGAUUUUAAUAUGAAGAAAUUGUAAGAGGUUAUUUCUUGAAGAUAACUACAGAUAAUUAUCGUCAAUAACACUUGUAUAGACUAAUAUUAAUACAGCUGAACUGAGUUCUCUUACAAGUAAUUGAAGUGUUUAAAUUAAUGACUCUUAAGAUAUUCGAGUUUGUUAACGAGUUAAAUUAUAACUGUGAUGGUACACGUUUUCAAAUUUUUUUUUUUUUUUUUCAAUUUGAAGAAAAUACAUUUUAGUUUUUGCUAAACUCUCCUGCUCAUUGGUGGCAAUUUUGCGUAGCAUUUUGAGAUCUUUAAAAAAUAAUAAUAAUCUCCACACUGGUUUUAAUAAUUGGCUCAUGUUCUAUAAACACUAAGUAUUUGUUCACCUUAGGUGCUUCUCGCUUCUAGUUGAUUAAAGCCCUUCAUUUGUUUCUUUUGCUUCUUAUGCAUAGGGUUGUGAAAACUCUGAUGUUUGCCCUUUUGAAGUAUUCAAGGUACGAUUUGCUUAUUCUAGAGUUUAGCAUGAAGCCAUACGUUGGUCACUCAUUUCUCUAAUUCAAUCUUCUAUUACAUAGGAACGAAUAGCUGCUCCUCAUUUAAAGCACGACUACACAGGUCUUUGCAAUAUGGAAUCAGAUCAAGUAGAGCAAACUGCCUUGGUCUGUACAUUAUCCCAAAUGUUAAGUUGGCUUUUCCCUGUGAGGAAUGGCGAUAGACGAGCCCAGAAAGUUGAGCUGUAGUUUUAUUAACAUAGAGCCAUAACUCUCGCAUUUUCCCUGACUUGACAAUUGCCUCCUGACUUUGUUAAUUUGUCAUUGAUCCAACGGUUCCUUCUAACAGGUUACAGUCUGAGCAAAAUCACAUCUUAUACAGAACUAUUUGUACUCUUUUUUGGGCAUACCUAUUUAUAGCAUUUGUCAAGUUUUAACUCUUAACUCUUAAGCAGCAGAUUGUGUUUCUACUCACAAUCUUCUUCAGAUUAACAAUUUGAAGAAAUAUGCAUCCAUUUUGGAAGUUGAUGACUGCAGAGAGCAUAUGUUUAUCCAGGUCACCUUUAUAUGUGCGAAUUUGGGGCUAAUGAAUUGUUAAUUCUGGAGUAUUGAUGCUUUUUUAUUUUGCUGUUGCAGUUUGAACCAGCUCCACGGAGAGGGGAAUCUGUUAGUUUGAUGCGCAUUCUUCAAGUAGUGUUCUGUAAAAUCACAUUAUGAAUUUACGUUCAUUUAUUUGCGUGUUAUAAUUUGAAGUGAUUGUAUAAGGUUCCAUGAUCAUAUAGGAUGUCAUAAAUUGUAUACUCGAUGGAUCGGGUAUAGUAAGACAAUUUGUGAUGUGAUCAAAAUUAUGUCGUUCACAAUCGGUUCAUAAAGUUGGACACUUUAUGUUGAUAAGAUUGUAUUAUUUUUAUUAAGAUUUGUCUAGAUCUUAAAAUAGGUACAAUAAUAUGUUUUGAUGCACAUUGAACGGGAUCGCGUAGAUGACUCAUUUGUGACCGUUUGAAAUGAGACUCUACUUGAUUAUCAAACAGGUCACCUAAAUCCUGAAUGAGUAAUGUACCUUUGAUUGUUAGCUCAAGUUCUUUGAGGUACCAAUGAGUGAAGUCUUAAAUAGAGGAUUGAUCUCGAUGCUUUGGAAAUCAGGUCGAAACAAUUAUAGAUCAUAUACUUAAAAUAUUGGAAUCCAUUAAUCAUUGAGAUGAGACGAUUGUUACUCUAAUGUAUUUUCCUAGACAAAUUGAAUCUGAGAGUAGGUCAACGAUGAGAUCGCUGGACUUUACAUUGUGAUUUGAUCACAACGAAUUUGUCGUAUGAAAAUGGGACUUAGAGGAUAAUAGAUGUUGAAGGGCAAAACAGUGAUUUUACCAGUUUCAACAUAUUGACGGUCAAAUGGGAGUUGACCUGUGGAACGAUAAUUAGAUGAUAUUAUUAUUGGAUCAUAAUUUGCUUCUGUAAAUAUCACUCGACUCGAGAAUGCAAUCUCGAUUUUUUGGUAGAAUAAGUUGGGAUUAAUAGAUGUAUAUCAAUUGGUCAAGAGUUGACCCAAUUGAAAAUAUUUAGUGGAGCUUGGGCCAUGAGAGUCCAGUUAGGUCCCUCUCUUGACUCCAAUAAAAGGUGUGUGACUUAAUUGGUCUACUACAAUAAAGUCUAAGGAAAUUUGUGCAAUUUUCUAACCCUAAUAGGUCAUUAUAAAUAUGCAUUUUGUUGACAUAUUUUGAAUGAGAAUUAGGGUUAGUCAAUUUUCACAUUCCCUAAAAAGGAAUAACACCUAGUGGAGAACAAGGGAGGAAGCAAUUGACUAGGUCAUUAAUAGCUUAUUUAAAAAGGCUAUCAUCUCCCCUUUUUAUAUAUGUGAGGAUUUUAUAAUCCAGUGAUUUCAAGGUCAAUGAAAUCCUUAUUUACAUGAUUUUGAUCUUCAAAGGAAAAUUAAUUUCCUAUUGUGAUGAUUAAAAUUCGUUAACCAACAAAUGGUAUCAGAGCCAAGGUUAUUGUAUGUCUUGAGUAGGAUUAAUUUUUUAAAUCGUAGUGUAAUAUACAUUUUAGUUGAGUGGUGUUAGGUUAUUUGAUUUUGACAUGUUUAUGCUUUAAAUAUGUUUAAAGUUAUUAUUGAUGCACUCAUAAUCACUUUUGACCCUAGAAUUUCUUUUUACUUCCUAUUGUAAUUUAUUUAUUAUAGUUAUUCUCUAGAAAUGUUGUAAGUCAUAAGGCAUUAAUUUUUUGUAUUUUUUCUUCAUUUUCAUUUUUGUACUUUGAGGAAGAAAUGUAAACUUGUUGCUGUAAUUUCCAUGGAGAGAAAGGAAGGAAAAAAAUGCAAGAAUUUGAAGAAAUAUCUAGAGGCGACGGUGGUGGCUGUUGUGACCGGAGUUAUGGUAGCCGCCGCGAUCGGUGUGCUGUUGUUGCAAAGCAGCCGCUGCUACAAUAGCAGCAGUUGAGUUGCUGCACAAAAUGUAGCAGUGGCUGUUGGGGCCGCUUGCCUGCGGCAGUGCUGGCGGCCCUUCCUUUUAUUUUUUUGGGGUCGCUGGAGGUUGCUCCGUCGCGGAAUUGUGCGUGCUUUGGUGUUGUGUGUGUUUUUUUGCUAGGGUUGAAAAUUAGGGUAAUUUGAAUUUUUUGGGCCUUUCUUUAAAACUUGGGCUAAUGUUAUUGGAUAAUGGUCUUAUUGGUUUUAAGUUUUGGGCCUAAAAAUUAAAUUAAUCCUAUUUUCAUGUUACAUGAGGUGGACUACAAAGAAGAUUGAAGAAUUGGGUCGGGGCGGGGCCCAAUGUAAUUCUUUUUAUUCAUGUUGUAAUUUAAAUUCUUAAGAUGGAU
rnacentral:lncRNA from 1 species